GGAAGUUCUUGGCUGACACCUUGGAAUCGGGCUCCCUCCUCUUUGGUUCCGGGUGCAUCACCCAAGAACUGCA
rfam:Myotis davidii contig320550, whole genome shotgun sequence.